rnacentral:rRNA from 1 species
AUUGAACGCUGGCGGCAUGCCUUACACAUGCAAGUCGAACGGUAACGGGCCUUCGGGUGCCGACGAGUGGCGAACGGGUGAGUAAUGUAUCGGAACGUACCUUUCAGUGGGGGAUAACGUAGCGAAAGUUACGCUAAUACCGCAUAUUCUGUGCGCAGGAAAGCAGGGGACCUUCGGGCCUUGCGCUGAGUGAGCGGCCGAUAUCAGAUUAGCUAGUUGGUGAGGUAAAGGCUCACCAAGGCGACGAUCUGUAGCGGGUCCGAGAGGAUGAUCCGCCACACUGGAACUGAGACACGGUCCAGACUCCUACGGGAGGCAGCAGUGGGGAACUUUGGACAAUGGGGGCAACCCUGAUCCAGCCAUGCCGCGUGAGUGAAGAAGGCCUUCGGGUUGUAAAGCUCUUUCGGCCGGGAAGAAAUCGUAUCAGCUAAUACCCGGUGCGGAUGACGGUACCGGCAUAAGAAGCACCGGCUAACUACGUGCCAGCAGCCGCAGUAAUAC